GAGUUACAUGCCCUGCAGUGGGGAAUAGCCCGCCGAAAGGCGGAUUAAUACUCCAUGGUCCCGCAAGGGUAAAGGUGGCGCAAGCUGCCGCUGCAGGAUUGGCUCGCGGCCUAUCAGCUAGUUGGUGAGGUAACGGCUCACCAAGGCUACGACGGGUACCUGGUCUGAGAGGAUGAUCAGGCACACUGGAACUGAGACACGGUCCAGACACCUACGGGUGGCAGCAGUCGAGAAUAAUUCACAAUGGGGGAAACCCUGAUGGUGCAACGCCGCGUGGAGGAUGAAGGUCUUCGGAUUGUAAACUCCUGUCAUCUGGGAGUAAGACCUGGCGGUGAAUAGCCGACAGGGUUGAUAGUACCAGAAGAGGAAGGGACGGCUAACUUCGUGCCAGCAGCCGCGGUAAUACGAAGGUCCCAAGCGUUGUUCGGAAUCACUGGGCGUAAAGGGAGCGUAGGCGGCGUGGUAAGUCAGAUGUGAAAUCCCGGGGCUCAACCCCGGAACUGCAUCCGAUACUGCCAUGCUUGAGGGUUGGAGAGGUAGCUGGAAUUCUCGGU
rnacentral:rRNA from 1 species